AUGGAAGCAGAACUCACAACACUAGAUACAGUUACGGUCGAAGCAGAUUGGCUUCGUCGGCUCUUGAAUGACUUGCCGGUUGUUGAGAAACCUGUACCGAGUGUCCUUAUGAAAUGUGAUAAUCAAAUAGUGAUCACGAAAGUGAACAGUUCAAAGGAUAACAUGAAGUCAUCAAGACACGUUCAGAGAAGGUUAAAGUCUAUCAGAAAAAUGAGAAACUCCGGAGUUAUUGCAUUGGAUUAUAUCCAAACAUCUAAAAAUCUGGCAGAUCCUUUUACUAAGGGUCUAUCAUGUAUUGUGAUAGAUAAUGCAUCGAGGGAGAUGGGUAUGAGACCCACAAUAUGA
rnacentral:rRNA from 1 species